rnacentral:misc_RNA from 1 species
GAUGAAGAACGUAGCGAAAUGCGAUAAGUAAUGUGAAUUGCAGAAUACAGUGAAUCAUCGAAUCUUUGAACGCACAUUGCGCCCGCCAGUAUUCUGGCGGGCAUGCCUGUUCGAGCGUCAUUUCAACCAUCAAGCCCUGCUUGCGUUGGGGUCCUGCGGCUGCCCGCAGGCCCUGAAAACCAGUGGCGGGCUCGCUAGUCACACCGAGCGCAGUAAUACAUCUCGCUUUGGGCGUGCGGCGGGUUCUUGCCGUUAAACACCCCCUUUUUACCAAGGUUGACCUCGGAUCAGGUAGGAAUACCCGCUGAACUUAAGCAUAUCAAAUAAGCGGAGGA